CUUUUAGAAUUAAUUAAAAGUCGGGCCUGCCCACUGAAUAAUUAAAGGGCCGCGGUAUUCUAACCGUGCAAAGGUAGCAUAAUCAUUAGUUUUUUAAUUGAGAGCUGGAAUGAAUGGUUUGACGAAAUAAUGACUGUCUUGAAUUGAUUAAUUGAAAUUUAUUUUUAAGUUAAAAAGCUUAAAUAUUGGUUGGGGACGAGAAGACCCUAUAGAUCUUGACAUGAGAUUUGAAUUUAAGUAUGAAGAGUAGAAAAUUUAUAUUGAAAUUUUAUGUUUUGUUGGGGUGAUAUGAGAAUAGAGAAACUUCUUUUAAUAUUAACGAAAAUUAUUGGAUAAUUGAUCCUUUAUUAUGGAAGAAAGAUUAAGAUACCUUAGGGAUAACAGCGUAAUUUUAUUGGAGAGUUCUUAUUGAUAAUGAAGAUUGCGACCUCGAUGUUGGAUUAAGAUUAUAAUUAGGUGCAGUAGUUUAAUUUAUAAGUCUGUUC
rnacentral:rRNA from 1 species